ensembl:snRNA U6 U6 spliceosomal RNA
GUGCUUGCUUUGGCAGCACAGUUACUAAAAUUGGAAUGAUACAGAGAAGAUUAGCAUGGCUUCUGUGCAAAGAUGACAUGCAAAUUCAUGAAGUAUUUCAAUUAAUU